GGUAUUUUGACUAUACAAAGGUAUUGAAAUAAGAUUCUAAUUGAAUGCUAAGAGAAUGGAAACCCAGAAAAAAACUUUUUUUAAAUUAAAAAUUGAAAUUUUUUUAAUUUGUGCAGAAACAAUUAUUAAUAUUAAGGACAAGAAGACCCUAUGAAUUUAUAAAAUUCUAUUCAAUAUGUUAUUGCUGUUGUAGAAUUUUUGGCUGGGGCGGCUAAAAAAUAUUUUAAACUUUUUAAAAGUAAAAUGAUCCAUUAUUAAUGAUUACAUGUGAAAUA
rnacentral:rRNA from 1 species